UCCCGUACACGAAAGGGCACACAUAAUGAUGACGAGUAGGGCGAGGCACGUGAAACCUUGUCUGAAUAUGGGGGGACCAUCCUCCAAGGCUAAAUACUCCUGACUGACCGAUAGUGAACCAGUACCGUGAGGGAAAGGCGAAAAGAACCCCUGUGAGGGGAGUGAAAUAGAUCCUGAAACCGCAUGCAUACAAGCAGUGGGAGCACCUUCGUGGUGUGACUGCGUACCUUUUGUAUAAUGGGUCAGCGACUUAUAUUCAGUAGCAAGGUUAACCGUAUAGGGGAGCCGUAGAGAAAUCGAGUCUUAAUAGGGCGUUUAGUUGCUGGGUAUAGACCCGAAACCAGGCGAUCUAUCCAUGAGCAGGUUGAAGGUUGGGUAACACUAACUGGAGGACCGAACCCACUGUCGUUGAAAAGCCAGGGGAUGACUUGUGGAUAGGGGUGAAAGGCUAAUCAAGCCUGGUGAUAGCUGGUUCUCCCCGAAAGCUAUUUAGGUAGCGCCUCGGACGAAUACCAUAGGGGGUAGAGCACUGUUUCGGCUAGGGGGUCAUCCCGACUUACCAAACCGAUGCAAACUCCGAAUACCUAUGAGUACUAUCCGGGAGACAGACUGCGGGUGCUAACGUCCGUAGUCAAGAGGAAAACAAUCCAGACCGCCAGCUAAGGCCCCAAAAUCAUAGUUAAGUGGGAAACGAUGUGGGAAGGCAUAGACAGCUAGGAGGUUGGCUUAGAAGCAGCCACCCUUUAAAGAAAGCGUAAUAGCUCACUAGUCGAGUCGGCCUGCGCGGAAGAUGUAACGGGGCUAAAA
rnacentral:rRNA from 1 species